rnacentral:rRNA from 1 species
CCUACGGGUGGCAGCAGUGAGGAAUAUUGGUCAAUGGACGAGAGUCUGAACCAGCCAAGUAGCGUGAAGGAUGACUGCCCUAUGGGUUGUAAACUUCUUUUAUAUGGGAAUAAAACGUUCCACGUGUGGGAUUUUGUAUGUACCAUAUGAAUAAGGAUUGGUUAACUCCGUGCCAGCAGCCGCGGUAAUACGGAGGAUCCGAGCGUUAUCCGGAUUUAUUGGGUUUAAAGGGAGCGUAGGUGGAUUGUUAAGUCAGUUGUGAAAGUUUGCGGCUCAACCGUAAGAUUGCAGUUGAAACUGGCAGUCUUGAGUACAGUAGAGGUGGGCGGAAUUCGUGGUGUAGCGGUGAAAUGCUUAGAUAUCACGAAGAACUCCGAUUGCGAAGGCAGUUCACUGGACUGCAACUGACACUGAGGCUCGAAAGUGUGGGUAUCAAACAGGAUUAGAUACCCUAGUAGUC